GACGAACGCUGGCGGCGUGCCUAACACAUGCAAGUCAACUUGACUGAAGGAGCAAUCUGACAGUAGAGUGGCGCAAGGGUGCGUAACGCGUAAGUAACUUGCCCCAAGGUAAGGAAUAACGUCGAGAAAUCGGCGCUAAUACCUCAUAAUGCAGCGGAUCCGCAUGGAUAUGUUGUUAAAGGUUUACCGCCUUGGGAUAGGCUUGCGUCUGAUUAGCUAGUUGGUGUGGUAACGGCACACCAAGGCUACGAUCAGUAACUGGUCUGAGAGGAUGAUCAGCCACACUGGAACUGAGACACGGUCCAGACUCCUACGGGAGGCAGCAGUGAGGAAUAUUGGGCAAUGCUCGAAAGAGUGACCCAGCAACGCCGCGUGGAGGAUGAAGGUAUUCUAUAUCGUAAACUCCUGUGAGAGCAGACGAAAGACAGAUUAUUAAUCUGGAUGACUGUAUGCUCAGAGGAAGCCCCGGCUAACUACG
rnacentral:rRNA from 1 species